GACUCCGUGGCCUAGCGGAUAGCGCUGCUGUUUUAGAAAAUUGGGUCGCGAGUUCAAUCCCCAUUGGGGUCA